AGAAGCUGGCGUUUGUCAACAGAGUACUUCUCAUCUAGAUUCAGGCAGUGCUGGGCUCAACCGGAAUUGCUGGGUCUGAGGCCGCCACAAACUGCUGUCUGUUCUUUGUCCUCCGGCCCCACCUACUGGUCUUUCCAAGAACUACAACCUGGAGUCAAGUCAGCUCUCCCCACUGCUCUGCUAGGUAUUUUCUACCUGUUCAUCACCUGUUGACUCCAAUAGAAGAAGUCCAUGGAUUCCUGCAGCCUGCCACACGGAACUACGGGACCAAAAGAGAACUCUUUCAUCAAAAGCGACUAGUUCAUUGGAUCAUGGUGCAUGUAUACAGUGCAACUUUAACUGAGCUGUCAGGAAGGGUUAGGUUUAUGUUCAUGUGCUGAUCUGGAACAAUCUCAGACGUGCCCCGCUAAGUGAAAAAAGCCAGGUAUGGGAUGGUGUGGAGAGCAUGGGUGCUGUGUAUGUGAGAGGAGGAGAUGCUGUUGCAUCUUUGCCUGGGCCCCUUCUCAGGAGGGAGGCGCAAGAGGAGGAA